UACGUAGGGUGCAAGCGUUAAUCGGAAUUACUGGGCGUAAAGCGUGCGCAGGCGGUUUUGUAAGUCUGUUGUGAAAUCCCCGGGCUUAACCUGGGAAUGGCAAUGGAGACUGCAAGGCUAGAGUUUGGCAGAGGGGGGUAGAAUUCCACGUGUAGCAGUGAAAUGCGUAGAGAUGUGGAGGAACACCGAUGGCGAAGGCAGCCCCCUGGGUCAAGACUGACGCUCAUGCACGAAA
rnacentral:rRNA from 1 species